CAGAUAUUGUUGGCAUCUGUUUGCACAGCCACAAGGAGCAGCUGGAACUAAUUGUAUUAUCCAAUUGGCUCUUUCAUUGGUUGCAGGGGAAAGUAUUAGGAUUUUCAAUGCAAUUAAUGAUGCCACUUUCAAUUUAGUCGACAAGUUCUUUGGAAUGAAACAACAUCAUACUUUGAGGGCUCUUGAAAUAUACAGGAAGGCCAGACAGCAGGCUC